AGAACGAACGCUGGCGGCAUGCCUAACACAUGCAAGUCGAACGCGUGUAGCGAUACACGAGUGGCGGACGGGUGAGUAACGCGUGGGAACCUGCCCUGGAGUGUGGGAUAACCGAGGGAAACUUCGGCUAAUACCGCAUACGACCUGAGGGUGAAAGAUUUAUCGCUCUAGGAGGGGCCCGCGUCGGAUUAGCUAGUUGGUGGGGUAAAGGCCUACCAAGGCAGUGAUCCGUAGCUGGUCUGAGAGGAUGAUCAGCCACACUGGGACUGAGACACGGCCCAGACUCCUACGGGAGGCAGCAGUGGGGAAUAUUGGACAAUGGGGGCAACCCUGAUCCAGCAAUGCCGCGUGAGUGAUGAAGGCCUUAGGGUUGUAAAGCUCUUUCGCGCGCGACGAUGAUGACGGUAGCGCGAGAAGAGCCCGGCUAACUCGUGCCAGCAGCCGC
rnacentral:rRNA from 1 species